GAUGAACGCUGGCGGCGUGCCUAAUACAUGCAAGUCGAGCGAACAGACGAGGAGCUUGCUCCCUUACCGUUAGCGGCUGACGGGCGAGUAACACGUGGAUCACCUUCCUAUUUUUCUUGGAUAAUUUCGGGAAACCGGUGCUACUAACAGAUAAUAUAUUGUACCGGUUGGAUCAAUAGUGCUAGACGGUUUUGGUGUCACUUAUAGCUGGAUUCGGGUCGGAUUAUUUAGUUGGUAAGGUAACGGCCUACCAAGGCUACGAUGCGUAUCCGACCUGAGAGGGUGAUCGGCCACACUGGAACUGAGACACGGUCCAGACUCCUACGGGAGGCAGCAGUGGGGAAUAUUCGGCAAUGGGCGAAAGCCUGACCCAGCAAUGCCGCGUGGGUGAAGAAGGCCUUCGGAUUGUAAAACUCUUUUAUUGGGGAAGAAAAACUGUGGAAGUAAAUACGCACGUCUUGACGGUACCUAAUCAGAAAGCCCCGGCUAACUACGUG
rnacentral:rRNA from 1 species